GACGAACCGUGCAAACGUUGUUCGGAAUCACUGGGCUUAAAGGGCGCGUAGGCGGGUGAUCAAGUCAGGGGUGAAAUCCUCCAGCUCAACUGGAGAACAGCUUUUGAUACUGGUCAUCUUGAGGGGGGUAGGGGCAUGUGGAACUUCCGGUGGAGCGGUGAAAUGCGCAGAUAUCAGGAAGAACACCCGUGGCGAAGGCGGCUCUCUGGGACGGUACUGACGCUGAGACGCGAAAGCGUGGGGAGCGAACAGG
rnacentral:rRNA from 1 species